GGUCUGAAAAUUGUUUGACGAACUGCUGACGUGUAAAUUGUGUAGAACAUUCAAAUGUACGAAUAACGAACACCUAUACUACAAUGAUAUCGCAAGUUCUCUCAAUAAAAUGUUUUCAUAUAUUGUGUUAUGACUUCAGAUCAUCAAACUGAAAAUAAAUUAAAGUAAUACUCGAAUAGCAACCAAGAACAACAAGAGAGCGCUAACGAUACACGAUUGGAAUCGAUGCAUAAGAGACGAGGUACUUCCCUAUUCCGCAGGCUGCUGACCGCAGCACAUCGUCACUAUAUACAUAUAAGUAGCAUUCGAUGUGUGCGUUGUUUUUUAUUGCCAUUAGAUAGCGCGAUUGAGCUGUACUGUUUAUAUAAUCGAAUUGUCGACAAUUAAUCUACAAAAUUAUAUAUUUAAAACUAAUUAUCGAUGACAGGUGAGGUGUAUUUAAAUGAAUUAUUGAAAUAUACAGCCAUAUUUCAAAAUCGGAUUUCUUCGAAAAUCGAUUUUUUCGUAUUUUCGAAAAUGUUCAAAUUUGAAACUGCAAAUGUUUUAGAUUUGCAUUUUUCUUUAAGUAUCUUUAAAGAUGUUGGAAAUGUAUCGCUUCUCGGCCUAUCGGCUAAGAUCAAAGUGUAGUAUCUGUUCUUAUCAGCUUAACAUCUGAUACACCCUUCAUCGAAGGGUUCAAAUGUUAAACUAAUUUUUUCAAAUUUGGUGGAGAUUUUGGGGCUUGCUCCUGCUCCACCGCGGGUUGACCCGGUAUUGCAGUACCACCGGGAACGGCCCAC